rnacentral:rRNA from 1 species
GUUUGAUGUUCUAACGUGGACCCGUAAUCCGGGUUGCGGACAGUGUCUGGUGGGUAGUUUGACUGGGGCGGUCUCCUCCUAAAGAGUAACGGAGGAGCACGAAGGUUGGCUAAUCCUGGUCGGACAUCAGGAGGUUAGUGCAAUGGCAUAAGCCAGCUUGACUGCGAGCGUGACGGCGCGAGCAGGUGCGAAAGCAGGUCAUAGUGAUCCGGUGGUUCUGAAUGGAAGGGCCAUCGCUCAACGGAUAAAAGGUACUCCGGGGAUAACAGGCUGAUACCGCCCAAGAGUUCAUAUCGACGGCGGUGUUUGGCACCUCGAUGUCGGCUCAUCACAUCCUGGGGCUGAAGUAGGUCCCAAGGGUAUGGCUGUUCGCCAUUUAAAGUGGUACGCGAGCUGGGUUUAGAACGUCGUGAGACAGUUCGGUCCCUAUCUGCCGUGGGCGCUGGAGAACUGAGGGGGGCUGCUCCUAGUACGAGAGGACCGGAGUGGACGCAUCACUGGUGUUCGGGUUGUCAUGCCAAUGGCACUGCCCGGUAGCUAAAUGCGGAAGAGAUAAGUGCUGAAAGCAUCUAAGCACGAAACUUGCCCCGAGAUGAGUUCUCCCUGAGACUUUAGGUCUCCUGAAGGAACGUUGAAGACGACGACGUUGAUAGGCCGGGUGUGUAAGCGCAGCGAUGCGUUGAGCUAACCGGUACUAAUGAACCGUGAGGCUUAACCUUACAACGCCGAAG